rnacentral:lncRNA from 1 species
AUGAUCUAUGGGUCUACUGGAGCUACCCACUUCGAUCAAUUAGCCAAGAUUUUGAUCAGAUACGAAAUAAAUGGUGCUCGAUCUAGUGGUAUUUUAUGGGGAUUCUAUCUAUCGCUAUACCCGCCUAGAAGAGCCACUUGCUCUGUAGUGUUGUCACACAAGAUAAGCACGCCACCCGCCAGCUGGCCGGGCGAAUCUAAGUUAUCUUCUGGUCAACUGUCCACCCAGUCAAGUGCAAAAAACACAGUUGAAUCAAGCAACGCACGCUGCUGGUGUGCUUCCUGCCUGCGAGGAAAGAAGAGCGACAAGGUUUAG